ensembl:miRNA MIR514A2 microRNA 514a-2
GUUGUCUGUGGUACCCUACUCUGGAGAGUGACAAUCAUGUAUAACUAAAUUUGAUUGACACUUCUGUGAGUAGAGUAACGCAUGACAC